UACGGAGGGGGCUAGCGUUGUUCGGAAUUACUGGGCGUAAAGCGCGCGUAGGCGGCUACUCAAGUCAGAGGUGAAAGCCCGGGGCUCAACCCCGGAAUAGCCUUUGAAACUAGGUGGCUAGAAUCUUGGAGAGGUCAGUGGAAUUCCGAGUGUAGAGGCGAAAUUCGUAGAUAUUCGGAAGAACACCAGUGGCGAAGGCGACUGACUGGACAAGUAUUGACGCUGAGGUGCGAAAGCGUGGGGAGCAAACAGG
rnacentral:misc_RNA from 1 species